CCCCCGCAUUAUUAGUUUAAAUUAAUGUUUUGAAUUUUAUAAAAUUCAAAACAUGUAAAAUUAAAAAAUAUAAUGUAGCAAUAAGUUUUGUAUUGCUAUGCCAUCUAUGUGUUGUAUACCAAAAUAAUAGUGGCCUGCAACAAUAAAGUAAGUUUAGCGGAAGCUGCACAAUAAGGGGAAAGCCUGUCACUAAUGCUAAACAUGCACAGUAAGAUAAAAAUCUGUUAUCACAACAAUAGGAAAUAAAAAAUGACAAGGAAUGCAAGCAUUGGGAGAAGCUUUGAGCUUUGCAAAGUGCUGUAUAUGAAGGAAGGUACCUAAAGGCAUGAAUUUAUUAUAAACAGAACAGAAAAUUUAUGGAACACAUUGCCAUUGGAAGUUAUCAAGUAAACAAAUGUAAACAGUUUCAAGAGAAAAUUAGACAAAUAUUUAGUAUCAAAAAAGUUAACUUAAAAAUUUUUUUUUGUUUAAACUAUUCAUCUUUUGCAUUAUAUUAUUGAAAGUUAUAUUUUGUUAUAUAUAAGUUAUAUUGCAGUAUAUUUUCAAAAGCUGUCAAAUUAAAUUUCUAACUCACUUGCUGUUAACGCAGCUACAGUUUGACUACUACUAU